rnacentral:rRNA from 1 species
AGAGUUUGAUCCUGGCUCAGGAUGAACGCUAGCUACAGGCUUAACACAUGCAAGUCGAGGGGCAGCGGGAUUGAAGCUUGCUUCAAUUGCCGGCGACCGGCGCACGGGUGAGUAACGCGUAUCCAACCUUCCGUACACUCAGGGAUAGCCUUUCGAAAGAAAGAUUAAUACCUGAUGGUAUGAUGAGAUUGCAUGAUAGCAUCAUUAAAGAUUUAUCGGUGUACGAUGGGGAUGCGUUCCAUUAGGUAGUAGGCGGGGUAACGGCCCACCUAGCCAACGAUGGAUAGGGGUUCUGAGAGGAAGGUCCCCCACAUUGGAACUGAGACACGGUCCAAACUCCUACGGGAGGCAGCAGUGAGGAAUAUUGGUCAAUGGACGAGAGUCUGAACCAGCCAAGUAGCGUGAAGGAUGAAGGUCCUACGGAUUGUAAACUUCUUUUAUAAGGGAAUAAACCCUCCCACGUGUGGGAGCUUGUAUGUACCUUAUGAAUAAGCAUCGGCUAACUCCGUGCCAGCAGCCGCGGUAAUACGGAGGAUGCGAGCGUUAUCCGGAUUUAUUGGGUUUAAAGGGAGCGCAGACGGGUCGUUAAGUCAGCUGUGAAAGUUUGGGGCUCAACCUUAAAAUUGCAGUUGAUACUGGCGUCCUUGAGUGCGGUUGAGGUGUGCGGAAUUCGUGGUGUAGCGGUGAAAUGCUUAGAUAUCACGAAGAACUCCGAUUGCGAAGGCAGCACACUAAUCCGUAACUGACGUUCAUGCUCGAAAGUGUGGGUAUCAAACAGGAUUAGAUACCCUGGUAGUCCACACGGUAAACGAUGGAUACUCGCUGUUGGCGAUAUACUGUCAGCGGCUUAGCGAAAGCGUUAAGUAUCCCACCUGGGGAGUACGCCGGCAACGGUGAAACUCAAAGGAAUUGACGGGGGCCCGCACAAGCGGAGGAACAUGUGGUUUAAUUCGAUGAUACGCGAGGAACCUUACCCGGGCUUGAACUGUAGGCGAACGAUUCAGAGAUGAUGAGGCCCUUCGGGGCGCCUAUGGAGGUGCUGCAUGGUUGUCGUCAGCUCGUGCCGUGAGGUGUCGGCUUAAGUGCCAUAACGAGCGCAACCCUCGCCGCCAGUUACUAACAGUUAAAGCUGAGGACUCUGGCGGGACUGCCAUCGUAAGAUGUGAGGAAGGUGGGGAUGACGUCAAAUCAGCACGGCCCUUACGUCCGGGGCUACA